UCAUGACGCCUUGAUGUGUGGUGCUAGGGAGUUGUUGGACGAACUCCAGGUGAGUGGGCAGUUUUGUUUUCCGUAUAUAUAUAUACUUGACGUUUCCCAGAAAUUGAAUUGAAAUGAAAAUAUGUUUAAAAUGAAAUGCAUAUGAGUUAUGUGGAAAAACGGGAAGUGAAAUACCAUGCAUAGAAUUGAUAUGAAAAGUAUAUAGAAAUGUGAGUUGAAAUGCCAUGCAUGAAUUAAUAUAUGAUGCAUAUGUAUGAAUUGGUGCGGUGGACGCACAAGUAAGAAUUGAUUUAUGAUGCAUAUGUAUGAAUUGGUGCGGUGGACGCACAUGUAAGAAUUGAUUUAUGAUGCAUAUGUAUGAAAUGGUGCGGUGGACGCACAGGUGAGUAUCAGGUGAUUAUUUAAAUACUGUUAUGAUGAUGUUGAUAUAUAUUGAGCUCAAAUCCUGCACCAUGGUUUAGUGCUUAUAGUAUUCACCGCAUCGCACGCUCGCCUUGGAUCCAAGUAGAUGCUAGUCGUACAGUCCACGCGGAGUGGGUACGACAGACCAGUCGCGAGAGUGUUAGUGAGAUUCCGACUGGUGGGUGACCUUAGAUUAUGUGCACAGAUGAUUUAUGAGAAGCACUAGAGCGUAACUUGUGUGCAGAAGGCCGGACGGGUCACAGAGGUGACUCCGGUAGAGUGAUAAUGAUAGAUUUUGAGCUCUAGGUUCAACCGUAUAGGGCUAUUAGAGGGCCUACGGUUGAUUACUUUCUUGCACCUGAUAUGAUUAUGUUGAUGCAUUCAUACCUUAUUACUGUUGAGAUGAUGUGGCAUGGCAUAAUUAAUAUGAGAAAUGUUGAGAUGACAUGGCAUGGCAUGAUUGAUAAAGAAAAAUGUUGAGAUAGUAAAAAUGAAGUUUUGAGAAUAUAUAUGUAUAUUUAUAUUUUACAUUUCUGGGAAAGUAUACAGGUUUUACGGAGAGGGGUUACAACGUUUUGAGAAAUGUUUGGAUUUGGAAAAGAAUUGUUUUACUGACCCACUCAAUUUUGGUUUUGCGCCCCUCCAGGUUCAGGAAUCACAAAGGUGUGGUGACUACGAGGAAUUCGACGGUGUUCUGACAGAUUGGACAAAAUUAGGACUCACCUUCGGGUGUAUCAACUUAUAAAUUGUAUCUUAAAGCUUCUGUACUGUGCAAAUGGUUACGUCACUCUCACGUGACGGCCAGCAUGCCCUCCUUCGGGACGGGGUGUGUCAGUUGGUAUCAGAGCAUGGUUGCAAUCUUGGACAUCUUGAGAAGUUUCUAGUGAAUUCUGUCAGAACUACACCGCCUCGUAGCAAACCACGUAGUUAGAGGAACUUAGUCUCCCUGAUUUAGCGAGUUAGGGGAAACUAUUCUUGUGGUGAUUCAGUAUAUUAGAAAAAUGGACAUUUUAAGACGGGUUAUGAGUUGAAUUUGAAUCACUUAAGAGAAAUGAUGAACCUGAGGGAACAAAGUGACGGU
rnacentral:lncRNA from 1 species